rnacentral:rRNA from 1 species
CCUACGGGGGGCAGCAGUGGGGAAUAUUGGACAAUGGGGGGAACCCUGAUCCAGCCAUGCCGCGUGUGUGAAGAAGGCCCUCGGGUUGUAAAGCACUUUCAGUGAGGAAGAACGCCUGGUGGUUAAUACCCAUCAGGAAAGACAUCACUCACAGAAGAAGCACCGGCUAACUCCGUGCCAGCAGCCGCGGUAAUACGGAGGGUGCGAGCGUUAAUCGGAAUUACUGGGCGUAAAGCGCGCGUAGGUGGCUUGAUAAGCCGGUUGUGAAAGCCCCGGGCUCAACCUGGGAACGGCAUCCGGAACUAUCAAGCUAGAGUGCAGGAGAGGAAGGUAGAAUUCCCGGUGUAGCGGUGAAAUGCGUAGAGAUCGGGAGGAAUACCAGUGGCGAAGGCGGCCUUCUGGACUGACACUGACACUGAGGUGCGAAAGCGUGGGUAGCAAACAGGAUUAGAUACCCCUGUAGUC